GGGGAGGUGGCUCCGUGGUAGAGCGCUUGCCUUGCAUGCCAGAGGCCCUGGGUUCGAUUCCUCAGCACCACUU
rfam:Dipodomys ordii contig_57670, whole genome shotgun sequence.